AACGAACGCUGGCGGCGUGCUUAACACAUGCAAGUCGAACGUGAUCCGGAGCUUGCUCCGGUGAAAGUGGCGCACGGGUGAGUAACGCGUGGAUAAUCUGCCUGAUGAUCCGGGAUAACAUUUCGAAAGGGGUGCUAAUACCGGAUAAGCCCACGGGCUCUCCGGAGCAUGCGGGAAAAGGGGGGGACCUUCGGCUGACACUUACAGAUGGGCCCGCGGCGCAUUAGCUAGUUGGUGAGGUAACGGCUCACCAAGGCGACGAUGCGUAGCCGACCUGAGAGGGUGAUCGGCCACACUGGGACUGAGACCCGGCCCAGACUCCUACGGGAGGCAGCAGUAGGGAAUCUUCCACAAUGGACGAAAGUCUGAUGGAGCAACGCCGCGUGAGUGAUGAAGGCCCUCGGGUCGUAAAGCUCUGUUGUUAGGGAAGAACAAGUACCGGAGUAACUGCCGGUACCUUGACGGUACCUAACCAGAAAGCCACGGCUAACUACGUGCCAGCCGCCGCGGUAAAAC
rnacentral:rRNA from 1 species